UCGCCAAUCUCGACUAGAAUGGUUGCUUCAGAACUGUAUGUAAGACGAAAAGAGAAGUCGCCAACCAAAGAAUGUGGGGUGGUUCGGUAGGCCUAGAGAACGUGAUAGAGUUUUUCCACCUUGUUUCCUUUGGCAUUAAUUGUCCAGUUUUCAUCGAAGUCCUCAAAGUAUGACCCUUUUUUUGUUUCGACCUUUUCGUUUGUAUGGGGAAGCUUGAUUGAGAUAAAGUGGUGUUUGACAUGUAGCUCUUGGAGGAAACUAUGGGAAGUUUUGCAUGUGAACUAGGUGAUGUCGUAUGUGACUAUGGCUUGAGGAAUGUUGAACCAUGUCAAGAUGCUCAUCUUAAAGAACCUGAUCUCGUGUUUUUCGUUCUUUAGGCGAGCGACUCUGCAUCUACCCAUUUAGUGAAAUAGUCUACUGCCACUAUCAUGUACUUUAGCUGACUGAGGGUGAUUGUAAAUGGUCUAAGAAAGUCCAUGCCCCACCAUGCAAAGAGUCG
rnacentral:lncRNA from 1 species